UGAGGAAUAUUGGUCAAUGGUCGGCAGACUGAACCAGCCAAGUAGCGUGAAGGAUGACUGCCCUAUGGGUUGUAAACUUCUUUUAUAAAGGAAUAAAGUCGGGUAUGCAUACCCGUUUGCAUGUACUUUAUGAAUAAGGAUCGGCUAACUCCGUGCCAGCAGCCGCGGUAAUACGGAGGAUCCGAGCGUUAUCCGGAUUUAUUGGGUUUAAAGGGAGCGUAGAUGGAUGUUUAAGUCAGUUGUGAAAGUUUGCGGCUCAACCGUAAAAUUGCAGUUGAUACUGGAUGUCUUGAGUGCAGUUGAGGCAGGCGGAAUUCGUGGUGUAGCGGUGAAAUGCUUAGAUAUCACGAAGAACUCCGAUUGCGAAGGCAGCCUGCUAAGCUGCAACUGACAUUGAGGCUCGAAAGUGUGGGUAUCAAACAGGAUUAGAUACCCUGGUAGUCCACACGGUAAACGAUGAAUACUCGCUGUUUGCGAUAUACGGCAAGCGGCCAAGCGAAAGCGUUAAGUAUUCCACCUGGGGAGUACGCCGGCAACGGUGAAACUCAAAGGAAUUGACGGGGGCCCGCACAAGCGGAGGAACAUGUGGUUUAAUUCGAUGAUACGCGAGGAACCUUACCCGGGCUUAAAUUGCACUCGAAUGAUCCGGAAACGGUUCAGCUAGCAAUAGCGAGUGUGAAGGUGCUGCAUGGUUGUCGUCAGCUCGUGCCGUGAGGUGUCGGCUUAAGUGCCAUAACGAGCGCAACCCUUGUUGUCAGUUACUAACAGGUGAUGCUGAGGACUCUGACAAGACUGCCAUCGUAAGAUGUGAGGAAGGUGGGGAUGACGUCAAAUCAGCACGGCCCUUACGUCCGGGGCUACACACGUGUUACAAUGGGGGGUACAGAGGGCCGCUACCACGCGAGUGGAUGCCAAUCCCUAAAACCCCUCUCAGUUCGGACUGGAGUCUGCAACCCGACUCCACGAAGCUGGAUUCGCUAGUAAUCGCGCAUCAGCCACGGCGCGGUGAAUACGUUCCC
rnacentral:rRNA from 1 species